rnacentral:rRNA from 1 species
UCGCAUCUGUGCAUGCAGCAUAUCAAUAAGCGGAGGAAAAGAAACUAACAAGGAUUCCCCUAGUAACGGCGAGUGAAGCGGGAAGAGCUCAAAUUUGAAAUCUUAAAGGGUUUCCCUUUACGAAUUGUAGUUUAAAGAAGUGUUUUCUGUUGAGGUUUUGGUAAAAGUUCUUUGGAAUAGGACAUCAUAGAGGGUGAGAAUCCCGUAUUUGACCUUUACUUUCAACUUUGUGAUACACUUCCAAAGAGUCGGAUUGUUUGGGAAUGCAGUCCAAAAUGGGUGGUAAAUUUCAUCUAAAGCUAAAUAUUGGCGAGAGACCGAUAGCGAACAAGUACCGUGAGGGAAAGAUGAAAAGAACUUUGAAAAGAGAGUUAAACAGUACGUGAAAUUGUCAAAAGGGAAGCGUUUGACACCAGUGUUGUUUUUCUGAAAAUCAAUUAAAGAACUGUUUAUGCUAAGCUGUUUAGACUUUAUCAGCUAUCUGUUUAGUUUUGAGCUUUUCUUUAAUGCACUUUUCAGUUAACAAGUCAACAUCAAUUUCUUUUGCUGUAAAAAAGCUUGAGGAAGGUGGCUUGAGAUUCGUCUUAAGUGUUUAUAGCCUCUUGCCUAUGCAGUCGGAGAGAUUGAGGUCUGCAGCGUAGAUCCUUCGGGGCUAAAUGCAUUUGUGCUAAGUUAUAGCAUUUUAUAGACAACUUGUUGACUAUGAUUUGUCUUGUAGCUUACUCGCUUAUGUUAUUUUACCUACGCUUAGGAUGUUGAGUCGUAGAGCACGCAG